GGGAGAGGCUGCAGGCGGAGGCGCAGCAGCUGCGCCAUGAGGAGAGGAACUGGGAGAGCAAAAUGGAGGAGCUGCGCAAGAAGGAGAAGAACAUGCCCUGGAACGUCGACACGCUGAGCAAAGAUGGCUUCAGCAAGAGCGUUUUCAACGUGAAGGCAGAGGAGAAGGAGGAGACGGAGGAGCAGAAGGAGCAGAAGCACAAAACCUUCGUGGAGCGCCACGAGAA